GAUGAAGAACGCAGCGAAAUGCGAUAAGUAAUGUGAAUUGCAGAAUUUAGUGAAUCAUCGAAUCUUUGAACGCAUAUUGCGCCCGCCAGCACUCUGACGGGCAUGCCUGUUCGAGCGUCAUUUCACCACUCAAGCCUGGCUUGGUGUUGGGCGACGUCCUCUUUGGGGACGCGCCUCGAAACGCUCGGCGGCGUGGCACCGGCUUUAAGCGUAGCAGAAUCUUUCGCUUUGGAAGUCGGGGCCCCGUCUGCCGGAAGACCUGCUCGCAAGGUUGACCUCGGAUCAGGCAGGGAUACCCGCUGAACUUAAGCAUAUCAAUAAGCGGAGGA
rnacentral:misc_RNA from 1 species